AACGUAGGACACGAGCGUUAUCCGGAGUUACUGGGCGUAAAGGGCGUUUAGGCGGGUGAUUAAGUUCGCUAUGAAAGCGCCAGGCUAAACCUGGCGAGGCUGGCGGAUACUGGUCAUCUGGAGUAAGAGAGAGGGAGGUAGAAUUCCGCGUGUAGUGGUGAAAUGCGUAGAGAUGCGGAGGAAUACCAGUGGCGAAGGCGGCCUCCUGGCUCUUAACUGACGCUGAAGCGCGAAAGCAUGGGGAGCGAACGGGAUUAGAAACCCCGGUAGUCCAUGCCGUAAACGAUGUGCACUAAACGUUCGGUUUCCGCGAGGGAGCUGGGUGUUGAAGCUAACGCGGUAAGUGCACCGCCUGGGGAGUACGGUCGCAAGGCUAAA
rnacentral:rRNA from 1 species